rnacentral:rRNA from 1 species
UACGUAGGGUGCAAGCGUUGUCCGGAAUUAUUGGGCGUAAAGAGCUCGUAGGCGGUCUGUCGCGUCGGCUGUGAAAUCCCGGAGCUCAACUCCGGGUCUGCAGUCGAUACGGGCAAACUGGAGUACUGCAGGGGAGACUGGAAUUCCUGGUGUAGCGGUGAAAAUGCGCAGAUAUCAGGAGGAACACCGGUGGCGAAGGCGGGGUCUCUGGGGCCGAUACUGACGCUGAGGAGCGAAAAGCGUGGGGGAGCAAAACAGG